GAUGAAGAACGCAGCGAAAUGCGAUAACUAAUGUGAAUUGCAGAAUUCCGUGAAUCAUCGAGUCUUUGAACGCACAUUGCGCCCCCUGGUAUUCCGGGGGGCAUGCCUGUCCGAGCGUCAUUACAACCCUCAAGCCCGGCUUGUGUAAUGGGCGGCCGUCUCUCCCCCCGGGGGGAGACGCCCCCGAAACUCAGUGGGGAUGUCGCGAUACCGAAGCCUCAGCUAAUGGGUAAACCACAGCUGCAAUGGCCGCGGCCGGCGUCCGCCUUCCACGGUCCGUCCGCCUAGCGCGGGCGGCCUUCUCAAGGUUGACAUCGGAUCAGGUAGGGAUACCCGCUGAACUUAAGCAUAUCAAUAAGCGGAGGA
rnacentral:misc_RNA from 1 species